CCUACGGGGCGCAGCAGUAGGGAAUUUUCGUCAAUGGGCGCAAGCCUGAACGAGCAAUGCCGCGUGAACGAGGAAGGUCUUCGGAUCGUAAAGUUCUGUUGGAGAGGAAAAAGGGCGGAGAGAGGAAAUGGUCUCAGAUUGAUAUUACUCUUCGAGGAAGUAACGGCUAACUACGUGCCAGCAGCCGCGGUAAUACGUAGGUUGCGAGCGUUAUCCGGAAUAAUUGGGCGUAAAGGGCGCGUAGGCGGCCUGCUAAGUCUGAAGUGAAAG
rnacentral:rRNA from 1 species